AUUACUUUGGCAGAAUAGUGCAAUAAAUUUAGAAAUUAUUUAUAUUUAUUAAUAAAAUAAGUAAUA
rnacentral:tRNA from 1 species